GAUGAACGCUGGCGGCGUGCCUAAUACAUGCAAGUCGAGCGAACAGACGAGGAGCUUGCUCCUCUGACGUUAGCGGCGGACGGGUGAGUAACACGUGGAUAACCUACCUAUAAGACUGGGAUAACUUCGGGAAACCGGAGCUAAUACCGGAUAAUAUAUUGAACCGCAUGGUUCAAUAGUGAAAGACGGUUUUGCUGUCACUUAUAGAUGGAUCCGCGCCGCAUUAGCUAGUUGGUAAGGUAACGGCUUACCAAGGCAACGAUGCGUAGCCGACCUGAGAGGGUGAUCGGCCACACUGGAACUGAGACUCGGUCCAGACUCCUACGGGAGGCAGCAGUAGGGAAUCUUCCGCAAAGGGCGAAAGCCUGACGGAGCAACGCCGCGUGAGUGAUGAAGGUCUUCGGAUCGUAAAACUCUGUUAUUAGGGAAGAACAAAUGUGUAAGUAACUAUGCACGUCUUGACGGUACCUAAUCAGAAAGCCACGGCUAACUACGUG
rnacentral:rRNA from 1 species